rnacentral:rRNA from 1 species
AAUUCCAGCUCCAAUAGCGUAUAUUAAAGUUGUUGCAGUUAAAAAGCUCGUAGUUGAAUUUCGGGGUCAGUAGGUUGGUCGUGCCACAGGUAUGAACUGGUCUCACUGAUUCCUCCUUCCUGAUGAACCGUAAUGCCAUUAAUUUGGUGUUGCGGGGAGACUGGACUGUUACUUUGAAAAAAUUAGAGUGUUUAAAGCAGGCUAACGCUUGA